rnacentral:lncRNA from 1 species
UUUUGCCUUAUGAACAACCCCUCCCUCCCUCUUGAAGCUUAUCCCCUCCCCUGCCUCCGCAAUACCAGAUUACUUCAAAUUACAGAAGAUAAUCCAUCUCUCAGCAGCAGCAGCUGCUGGAGGAGGAAGGAAAGGAGAAUUUAAGGGGGAGAAAGAGAGAGACUCGUUUACGUGCCCCUUCCUCUAUUCUUCUCUACAAACACAUUCUCUCACAUCUUCUUCAUUUUCCCAGAAACAAGUUCAGUAAACCAUUCUUUUAUCUCUCUACUAACUAGCUUCUCUGCAAAUAUUUCUCUGUAAUUUUUUUUUACCAGAUUUGGCGGCGCAAUGCUUCCUCCCCUUGCUUUUCAGCUCAGAUAUCAAGUAAAAUCAGGUUUCUUGUUCACUUCGGGUACUCCCUCCACCCAUUACUGCUCUCUCUCCUUUUAAUUUCUACUUUUUUUUAUUUUAGGUAUUCGCAUUAACAUCUACAUUGCCUCUUUUAUUAAUACUGUGCUUCAUACCCCCUAAUAAAUACCUUUUCUUUCUCUAAUUUCCUUUCCCGCAAAAUGUGAAACUACUAUGAUUAAAAAACUCUUUUUUUGUUUGUUUUUUAAUCAUAAUAUUGUUUGUUUGUUUUUGUAUCAUAAUUAAUACAAAACAAACAAUAUUAUGAUUAAAAAACUCUUUUUUUGCCACAUUAGUUUCCUAAGGCCCCACACAAGUUGCCACGUCAGCAAUUUCUGACGUGGAAUGUUCAAUUUUUUGCAAUUGGAAAAAAUUAACAGUUUAAUCAUCUAAUUGACAAAAUUGAAAGGUGGAUCACCGAAGUGGAAUAUGGCCUAUAGUUUAGGGUACUAAUUCAUAUUUAAGCCUAAUUAAAAGGAUGGAUUAUAAACCAUAUUGUUACGUUCGGUUUGAAUCCAGAGAAUGAAAUAGACGAAGGGAUAAAAUAAAAUUAGUAUAUUUGAUGAUUAUUUCAGAACAUAAAUCAUUCAAAUGGAAUGAAAAUUCAUUCUAUUCUUUUGUUUUUUAUUCUAUGUGGUGAAGGUGAAAUAAAAUCUGUUUUAAUGAAAUGAAUAUAUAUAUAUAUAUAUGGCUAUAUGUAUAUACACAGCUGUGUAUUACACAGUGACGACGAGUUUUUUGGGCUAUGACGACGGUUUACCUGUCGCUGUAGCCCAGAAUAUCUAUGAUGACGGGUGAACCCGUCGCCAUAGCCAAAAAUAUCGUUGCCACAGCCGAUUGUGCACAUACAUUUUCCCAUAUAUAUAUAUAUAUAUGAUAAUUUUGCCAUUAUAUAACAACACCCACCACCGCCAACAAUCAAAAUACACUUAAAAUGCUUUAAAAUCAUUUAAUUCCGUCCUUUCAUUCUAUUCGUUGGUUGAUGUAAAAUUAAAAACGUCUUGUGUUUUUGAUGGAAAUGGACCAAGUGGUUAGCAUGAAGUUAACUUUAGUAAAUUGACCAAUACAGUGUCGAUACGCAGACCAACUUGUCAUGAACUUAACUUCACGAUAACCCGAAUUAUAAUUAUAAGUGCGGAGGCUGAAUUGAUUGGUUUGACUUGCGUAUAUGAGCGGCUCCAGCACGAGUCUCAUUAGGGGGCAUCAUCCAAUUGUUAUUAUGGUAGACUAGAGGAUAUUCUUCCUUAAUUGCUACUUCUUUUGCACAUUCUUCUUCAUGUAGAAUUUGGAGGAGUUGUUUAUGAAGUCUUUCCGUACGCGUUAGAAUAAUUUGUCUUGCUGCCGAUCUCUUCUUUUUCGGAAACUUAAAGUUCCAUUCAAAAUUCUCAUCAGCUGAACAACCUGUAAUUGCAAAUAUAAUUAUGUUUAAUCAUCUAUUAAUUUUCUUAUAUUUCAAUAUAAUUAAAUAUAUUUCAUGAAUUGAAUAUUUUAUGAGAGGAUAAUCAUAUAAAUUGUGAAUGUUUUAUGUCGACUAUUUGAUUGUCAGAUAUGUGGAUAAGUAUUAUUGAUAAUUGUUGCGGAGAGAUGCCUAAUAAGUGAGCUCACUCCUAUAAUUCCUACCAAUCCCGUAUCAAUAAAUUUCAAAAAAUGAAUAAAUUGUAUAAAUGAGGAAGCAAAUUUUAUUUGAAUACAAUUACAAAUUAUUACAGAUCUUAGUUAAAAAGAUUUGAACUUGCAUCUAAACUCCUUGUAUGGGAAUUUAAUAAGUAGGUGAUUCCAUUUCCAAAACACAUGAUUAUAAUAACAAUAUUCCAAAGUUCACUUCAUCAAAAUAGCUAUUCUACCCAUUACAAAAUAUAUAAUCAAUAACCUUUUGAAGCUAAUUAUAAAUACUUUUCAAAUUAAAAUCAAAAUGAUUUAAUUGAAUUUUAAACAAUACAAUUAUAAAUAUCUAAUUUGUACUAAUUAUAAAUUUAUUAUUUUAAUCAUAAUUUAAAAAUAUUUCAUAUUAAUGUUGGAAGGUCAAAUUUGAUAUUAUAUUUGGAAAGAAAGGAGAGAGUUUUUGUUUAAAUAUUUCAUAUUAAUGUUGAAAGGUCAAAAUAUAAAUAGGUGAAAUUUAAAUACACUCGUAUCCAAUUUUUAUGUCCGCAUAGAGUUUUUGUUUAAAUAAAGAGAACAAACUAAAUUAGAAAAUAGAUUUUCCACUUAAUUUACAGGUAUAUCAAACAUGUACUUAUAUAUUGUAUAGAUAAGUCAAAUAAAGAGAACUAACAAAAUGAGAGCUAUUAUAGCAAAAAAUAGGAAAUAAAAUGUUGUGCCAAACUCAAAUUUCACCCAUUUAAAGUAAAGAUAUCUACAUGUAUUAUGUAUAUGUAUAUACACACAUUAUUACUUACAGAUUACAGCUAUAUGCAGGAGUGUGAAACAUAACCCAGAAGCGGGUGGAAUUAUUUCUUUGGUUUGCCUAUUUUCUAAAUUUUUCGAUAUUAUGUGCUAAAAUUUGAGAUUAUUGCAUUUGCAUUUAGUUGCUGAUAUGCGGAAUAAUGUUUGCAAUUGAUUUGAUUGAUCUGAUAUUUGUGUUGUUAAUCGUGUUUAAUUGAAAAUUUUAGUGGGUUCUCGAUUGGAAAGUUUGUGUUUAGAUUAGAGCUAUUCACGUUUCUUAUAUCAACAGUAAGGAACUGGGUUAAUUUCUUAAUUUGAUUAUUUACUAUCUUCACUUUAAGUCUGUAUUUUGGUUUUGUUAAUAUUAUGAAUAGACACAAACAUGUAAGUAUGCAUGUAAAUGAUGAGGUGAUGAGAGAUUAGUCAGUAAUGGUGCAUAACUACUGCUAUACUAGCAAUUUAAGCUACAUAUUUUAUCACUGUUCAUGUAAAGGAGAAAUUGGUCACAUAAACAAGUGUGUUUGGUCAGAUUUAAGGGUUUAAUAAGAUUAAGGAUAUUAAGGCUUUGGAAGUGUGAAUUUUCCUUACAGAAUUUUUGGGAUCAAUGUCCUCCUUCGCAUUUGUUGCGGGACAGAGCUAUAUUUCUAGCAUCAUUGUUGCAGUUUUCAUCAGCUAUGGGUGUUUUUCAUGGUUUUUAAUUAACAUAGGGUUUAUCUUUCUUUUCCACUUUUUUCUUUAGGGUGGACUUCAUUUCCGCCCUACUGUUUUUAUUUAUUUUUUAUUAUUGUAUUUAUUUUGACCAUAGCUUUUAGACUAGCUAACAGCUAAGCCACUAAUCACACAGCUAAUAAAGUCGAUAGCUGGUAGCGAGUCGGUAGCAGCCAACUGUUGCUAUCGGGACUAUCUUACAUACUACAUUAGUUAAAGCAACCGUUAGUAUGUAUGCAUAAGAAGGUGAGCUAUUUGUGAGCCGCUAAAGCAAGCAUAGGUCUUUGUUAUAGGAGUGAAUAGAAGGAUGUUCUCUAGAGUGAGUGAACGGUAAAGAUUUCGCCUACAAUAGACUCCAACAACCGAUGUUUCAAUAUCGCUUUUUACAGCUGAUGUAGCCGGGCAACUGUUUACCAAAAACACAGGUCUCCACUAAGUUGUAAGACCAUGUAUGGGGGCUGACGCCUGAUUUUAAUCUUUCUUCUGUUGAAAUGCAUUUUCGAGCACUUGUAGUAAAAGGGUUAAAAAGUCUUCUUUUGAUCAAAAGGUAUAUUAAUUGAAGCUUUAUUUCCUUAUUGAAUUUUUGCACUUUCUCAUUGGUGCUUUAUAGGAGUAGAUGGUCUUGAGUAACGGUCUGUAGGAUAUCAAGAAAGCUUGAUUAUGACUGAAGACUGAAAGAUAUAUAUCCUAUCUAAAGUUUGGAUGAACCUUAGGAAGGUGCAUGCUGACUAAACACUAAACUUAGCUGAUGAGUGAUAAUAGUAUAGUUUUUUUGACAUACUAAUAAACAAUUCAUCGGUUAAGAGUGGAUAACUACUUGGGACUAUUUUUGUAGAAUUUUGGAUUCUAUUGCCCUGAUGAACUAGAAAGAUAAGAUUUGGUACCCUUGUAUACAAUAAUACAGUUUUGCAUAAUCAGGUGGAAAUGGUUGCGGACAAGUUUCUCUAGUUGCUUUUUGUGUAGUGUACUCAGAACUCUCAAAGCUUCACGUCCUUGGUCUUUCAGUUGAUCCAUAAGGAUUAAACUUAUUAUUUGACAUAUAAAAUAAAUUUAUUAUGUGGUUCUCAGGGUUUGUUCUGUAAAAAAUUUGGUUUAUGCUCUUUAAGAUCACGGUUGUUGAAGAUAAAUGUGAACUAACGAUACGAUACGAAACACUAUGGAACAACACAUACAAGGUUUAUGUGUGUGUUUGUUGUUUAUACACAGUGUAGCAUCUGGUUCACUAAAUUUACAGAAGGGUAGUAUCUGUUGUUCGUAAAUUUUAUUGUACCAAAAAAACACAAAAAACUGGUGAUAACAUUCUAAUUAAAAUUUUUGCUAUAUAAUUCUUAGUUGAAAGACAUAAAAAACUAACAUAUCAAACUUCUUCGCGAACCUUCUAAUAAUAUACUGCAGCAUUUUGGUUAUUAAAUAUGCUUUCUGCCAAUAAAUUGACCACUGAUGAAAUUUAAUCUAACUAACAAUUUCAUUCUUAUAAUCUGAAAGUAUUUUAAUUGCAUUAGUAGCUGGUUUUAAGAGUUUCUUACCAACAACAUUUUCCAUAUGCGUGCAGUUCCUUGAGGACGAUACCGUGGAUCCUGAAGUGCAUUUGUUGUUUGAAUGAUCUUCGCAGCAAGUUGAACAGUUAUGAGAUUUCGCUACUUUCCCUCUUAAAUUUGAUUUUAUGUAGGGAAUAGUUGGCUUGUCGCUAAGAGGUAAAUGUUUUAGUUUACUGCUUUGAGUAUAUGCAUGUUUCGGAGUAUAGGCAGCAAGAGUUCCUCUUAUUCUCCACCUUGAUCCACAUGCAUUGCACAACACUGGCUUUUCAGGCGGUCCAAUUCUCCAAAGUGGCGUGUCUGUUCCAAUUUAGGUACAAAAAUAAUCAAAAUAAAGUUCAAGACACUGAUAGGAAAAAACACAUUGUGUCAAUAGAGUAUAUGAUCUUAAAAAAACUGCAAAAUAUUUUUCUUUUGAGUAAAUUAGAGACCCAAAGUCCCUUUGAAGUAAUCAAGUGCACAAAUAUUUUAAUUCAUAAUCAGUGCAUGACAAAUUUAAACUCAUGCUCUUCUGUGGUACAUCAUCGUGCCUAUCCAACCAGCUGUAAUUUUAAAAACAUUUUCAUGUAGGUAAUUGAUCCGAACUCUGUUAACGUUGUAGUCAAAUUAGGUUUUGUACAUAAAUACAACACAAUCUAGUUUAUAAAAAUCUAUAUAGCUCCUUUGUCGUUGUAACAUGAAACAAGAAUGCAGUUGAGGUUCUUCAUUUGAACCUAAUCAUGAUAAUUCUUAGUGAUUCCGCUAAAUACUUAACUGGAGAAUUUACAUUUAAGCCAAUAUAUAGUGACACAUUACUUUUUAAUGGAUUUAUGUACAAACCUUCUAUUUGCUUUCAGUAAUCAGGCCUCAAAGGCAUUGCUAGGAUCAGAUGAGGCGGUGCCCUACUAAUACAUGGGUUUAAGGCACUCUUGUUGUACUGUGUUAAUUCUUAUUGACUUGCUGUUUUUCCUCAUGUUCUG